rnacentral:rRNA from 1 species
UACGUAGGGCGCAAGCGUUGUCCGGAAUUAUUGGGCGUAAAGAGCUCGUAGGUGGCUGGUCGCGUCUGCCGUGAAAGCCCGCAGCUUAACUGCGGGUCUGCGGUGGAUACGGGCCGGCUAGGGGUAGGUAGGGGCAAGUGGAAUUCCUGGUGUAGCGGUGAAAUGCGCAGAUAUCAGGAGGAACACCGGUGGCGAAGGCGGCUUGCUGGGCCUUACCUGACGCUGAGGAGCGAAAGCGUGGGGAGCGAACAGG